UGGCCCGUUGGUCAAGCGGUUAGACACCGCCCUUUCACGGCGGUAACACGGGUUCGAAUCCCGUACGGGUCAU
rnacentral:tRNA from 1 species